AAAUUUUCGAUCGGGAGAUUUGGAAAUUGGCGGGAACGGGGACUAAUAACACGAUAGGCUUUUAUGCACCCAAAGUCUGCGAUAAGUCGGUGAAUGGCGAAACGGUGCGUUCUAGCCUUUCAGUAUGAAGCAUCGUUCACAGAGACCAGGCCAGUUCCGAUUUGAGGGGCUGAAAUCUGCAGUCUUUGAUUCUUGGUAAGAAAUAGAUAAACUGAUGAUCACACAAAGAUUCAGAAAGCUAACCCUGACCCUAAUUCCAAAAUGAACGCCAUGAACGAGAAGAAAAUUAACAAUAAUAAGAAGAAGAAGAGUGAAUUCGAGUUUUGCAAGGUUUGCAAUCUGAAUCAAGAUCAAGGACAGCGCCACAAGUACUUUCCUAUCCACAAGAAGUCCCUCUCUGCUUUCGUCUCUCGAUUCCAGAGCAAGCUCCCGGACAUUCGAUUCUUUCUCAAAAACCCUAGUGUUCUUGGCCCCGAACACAACUGUCGCAAUCUGCUGCUGGAGCGUUUUCUGCGAUACUGACAUCGACGACAUAGGCAGCUCCUUCGCUUGUGCUAAUGCAAUAAAUCAUCUGGCAAAGUGGGUCAUGUGAAGAACUUGCUGUGGAAAUAUGGUGGUGACAUGGAUCGCACGGAUGCUUCUCGAUUUUUGGAAGCUGGUGUAGCUAAGUGGGAAAGGAAGUGCAAAUCACUAGAGAAUGAGGAUGCAUCAUCCAGUGAUGAAUCUCAUGUGCUUGAAGUUGAACCUUCAAAUGAUGUCCGAAAUGAACUCAACCACAAAAUAUAAAUACCUUUGAAAGCUAUAUUUUUUACCCUAUUAGAUCAAAUCUUUCUGAUAGUGUUAUGCCUUUACAUAAUCAUAUGAAUGAGUAUCAGAUAUCCCAUUCAGGACUGUCAGCAGUUUACAAAUGUUGGGUCAUUUGUACAUGAUGCUGUCUCUUCUAUUCCUGCAGAUGCAUUGAAUCCAAAUGAUUGAACAGGUGUGGAUAAUUUGUUUGUUUGAUAUCUUUUUUGUUCAAUAAACUAAUUUGCUUGUUUUAUGUUUAGUUUUGCUGUGUGGAGUUUACACUUAAUGCUAUUUUGUUGGUAUGUUUAUGUGUUUGGAUUAUGCAAUUAAUUGGAAUAGUCAACAGCCUCGUAAAAGUGUAGUAUCCUCUGGUGAUCUUAAUUAUAGAAGGGUGAGUUGGAUCCUUCACACAUUUCCUCUGUAAAUUUAGUUUGCUUCUAGAAAUUGGAAAUUUAUUUGUUACUUUGAAUCUUUUUUGGCUGGGUGGCUAAAAUUGGACGUUGUAGUUUAUAUAUUCUUUACAUAGAUUUUUAAUUAUCAUUUUGUCAUUUUUUGUUGCCAUCAUUAGGUAAAACCAUUUAAGAUUAACAGUUGGGUUCUCACUUCUCAGAAUGUAAUUUGCAGCUUAUAUAGUAGAUGGCUGGUGAUGUCUUUGAAUCUAGGUGUUGCUUUUUUAUUCUGUCAAUAAAUGCCACACUUUUGGGAGAUCUGUUGAGUAUCUGACGAGGUGAUAUAGAGACCCCCAGGUUUUUCGUACACAUUCUUUUCCUUUAGAUGAUUGUUUUGGGCACUGUACAGAGAUUGAGGGCAGCUAAGACCACAUUUUGUUUUUUCACUUUUCUGUCUUCGGAGGUGGUUUAGGUGCACAGAAAACUAUACAAUGUAAAUCCUUGUUUAGCAUUUUUUCAUGGAUGUUGUCAUUAGUCUGUUAACUACUUUCAUACCAUCCUGGUACUAAUUUUCUGAUCAUUUACUUGAGGGGUAAGUGCAUACAUAUGUAUGUGGUGAUGUCAUGUUCUUUGCAUAUUAUACUAUUUAGUAUUGUACUAUUGUUAAUAAGUGUAUUUAUUAACUGUCUACUGUUACUUAUUAACUUGUGCAAAGUGCAAACAAUGACUUGUAUUUCCUGGUCCAGUUUUCAUAUUGUAGUUCUGCUGUAUGGUCAGGUAUUGCAAUACAUUCAUAUCCCAUUUCAUAUUUGAACAGUAUAAUAUGUGCCUUUUAUUUCUUUGACAAUAUGCUUCUUCUAGAUGCCCCUUGACAUCUGCAUGCCAUUGCAUGUUCUAUUAUGAUUGAUGCUUAUCCAAACAAUAUUUCUUUUCUGCUGUAUGCUUGAAGCUCUAAGAAAUGAAAUUUAUGAUUUUUUUCUCUUUGGUAUAGGUGAGCCAAGGUUAUCAGGGUGGAGGGAUGGUAAAUGGAGUGACCAGUUCACAAGGUUCGCAUAAUAUCACUCAAACUUCUGCCACUCCUCCCAAGAAGGCUGGAGGGAAUGUGCAUACUGGAGGACCUCCUCCUUGGUUUGAAGCAACUGAAGAAAAUCAUCUAAGUGCUGAAUUGAAACCAAUUUCAUCUAGCUUCAUCUCCCUCUCGAACAAGCCAGGGAAAAAAUUAAAUCCAAAAAGGGUGGGAGCUGCUUGGGCAGAAAGGAGAAAAAUUGAGCUGGAGAUGGAAAAGAGAGGAGAAAUUGUCAAGAGUGACUGCGAUGAUAACUGGCUUCCCAAUUUUGGUAGAGUUUGGCAAUCAGGAAGUAGGAAGGAAUCUAGAAAAGAGUUUGAGAAGGAGAAACAAAAAUUACCCAAGGUUGAAAGUCAUUCUGAGAUGCCUCUUAAAAUAAAGCCUUACAUCAGUAAAAGAAUGCGACGGGAUGCAAGUGAAAGUGAAUGAUGGCCAAGGAUGUAUAGUGAUUAUCAUGCAGAAGAAAGAUAGCGCAGGUGCUAGACAUGGUGAGAGGUUAACAUGUAUAUUCUACUGUGAUUCCCCUUACCUUUGAAUUUGAGAUCAAUUGAAUUGGAUAUUGCCAUCAAAAGUGAAAAGGGAUAUUAGUGAACUUCAGUCCAGAAUUGGUAAAUCAGCUGUUGGGGUUUGUGUUGUAAUCAUGACAAUGCAAGGUAUGGCAGCUGUUGACGCUCGGUACUCUUUCAUUGUGCUGAAAUGAAACUAUCCCGCAUCUCAUAUUCCAGAAAAGAGAUUAUUGGUUUCUACUUUUGGUAUUGUGAAAUGUUGCAAUUUAUCAAAAUAGGAUACACAAUGUAAUUACCACAUUCUAUUCACUGUGUGAAAUCCAUGGCAAUAUACUUUCUCUGUUCAGAUGUUAGAGCAGUGUGUCAUGACACAUGACACAAGCUACUUGCACUAGCUAUCUGAGCAUAUAUGAUUUAUGCUAGUACUAAAGCCUAGACAUUUGCUAUAUAAUUUAGUGGAACAGAUGAUUCAUUUUUAGAUUUAAGAGUACUAGAGUAGUUGGUUCAAUGAGUUAGAAAAUGCAAGAAACUGCAAGUUUGUAUAGAAGGUUCUUUCAUUUGACAAACCAGUUAACAAUGUGCAAUUCUCAGUGCUUCUACUCUCUGCAUAAAUCAACUCAGUAAAAAUAAUGAAGCAGCAUAUGGUUCAAGGCUGAAAGUAUUUUUCUUUAUAUAUUUACACGAUUAUGUAUACAUAGUUAUAUACUUUCCACUUUGUUCUUGGAAUUGUUCUCUAAUGCAUGGCAGUGAUUUGAUAUUGUGCGGUUGUGUCCCUUGAUUGACGUGACCAUGGCUGGUGUGUGAAAAAAUUUGUGGCAUCUGAAUACAUGUUUUUGGUGAUGCACUUGGGCACAGCAGAGAAUGGUCAUGACAUGAUGGAACUUGAUUCUUUAUGCAUUCACCUCAGAUCGCCUUCAGUUUCUGCAAAACCUUGUAGAAUCUGAUUUACCUGUGAUCUCAAAAUUCCAAAGCUUACCCUUUGAUGAAACUAAGUUCUCAUCACACAGGGAAUCCCAGGAAAACGACUUCUCAAUUGUUUGAUCUACAUCAUGUACUAGUGCAUCUGUUGUAUUUCGAGCUUUUGUUAUUAUACUAGCUGUGUAGAUUGUAGCCAUCCUGCCUGGGGCCGCUGGUAAGUGUCCGCUUGGUCCAUUCACCACCACCACAUCCCAUUUCUGCUCAUAUGCUUCUGGUGGUAAAUUUGUUAAAGCAAGUCUGCAUGCUGAAUUUGGAAACCUUCCUGAGCGGGGUGCACAAACUGGACUUUUCCUUGCAUGCUUGAGCAGUUUGCAAGCUUUCUUUGCAGGAUUGUCCUCUAGAAGGACAGUGAUGCCGCCUGAGUUGAUUGAGGAGAGUUUUAGGUACUGGGGCUCCAGCCCAAAAAUAAGUAGGUUGCGGGGGGCCUUAUGCCUAAUGAGAUUAGAUAGACGCUUAAAUUCCUUUUUCGUGAGAAUGGUUGCAUUGGCAGAGAUUUUAUGUUGAGUGGCUGGGCUGCUAGCCAUAUUUGAUGAAACGUUGGUGCAUUCUGGAGACGCAGAAUAACAUGUCUCAUGCAGAGUUAGAGGAAAGGCAGGCAAUGGAGUAGUAGAAGAUGUAGUGGUUGCAAGUCUAAGAAGUCUAAGGAUGGAGAUGGGUGAUAAAAUGAAAACAAGGAAAGGUAUGACUUAUUUUCCAGUUAUUUUUGUAGUUUUAUUUCCUCCGAGAGAUUUGUGGCCAAUAGGCAGAUAGGUAUAUGCUUCAGGUGAGAUUGGAGGUGAAAACUUAACAAGAGGAGUUGUUAGGGAACGGUAAUGAGGUACUUCUGAGGGCAUUUUUUGUCCCUUGCCUCUUCCUUUUAGUGGCGCACUGUGAAGAUUGCAUCUGUUCCUUGCAAGGUAUUGGUUGGGUUUUCUAUGACAAUACGUGUGUAAUUAUGAAGCUUUAAUAUUUUCUUGAGAAGGAAUGAGCCUUUGCUUUUGUUCCAAGUGUUACCUUCUUCCAUGGAGCUGUUAGCCAGUUACCUAAUUGCUGUGGUUACCAUUGUACGAGUCAAUGAUGCUCAUGUGUAUCAGUUACGAAAAGAAUAAUGGAAGAGCUGGUUUUUCAAUAAUUUUUUCUUAGGAUUGGUGAGUGUCUUGAAACUUGUAGGAAACUGAGUCGUUGGCUCGUAGUUGUCAUUUUGCUCCUUUUUUUGGGCUCGCUUGAUGCAUUUGAGUGAGGCUGAAGAAGGCUAGCGUGUGGUUGAG
rnacentral:misc_RNA from 1 species